AGCAGCCGCGGUAAUUCCAGCUCCAAUAGCGUAUAUUAAAGUUGUUGCAGUUAAAAAGCUCGUAGUUGAAUUUCGGGNUUCUACCGUUGGUCGGGCUAACAAGUCUGUACUAGCGUGUAGAAUUUCUACCUUCUGGGGAACCAUCAUGUUAUUAAUUUAGCGUGGUGGGAAACCAGGACCUUUACCUUGAAAAAAUUAGAGUGUUCAAAGCAGGCUUACGUCUGAAUACAUUAGCAUGGAAUAAUAGAAUAGGACGGUGGUCCUGUUUUGUUGGUUUCUGAAUCACCGUAAUGAUUAAUAGGGAUAGUUGGGGGCAUUAGUAUUCAAUUGUCAGAGGUGAAAUUCUUGGAUUUAUUGAAGACUAACUUCUGCGAAAGCAUUUGCCAAGGAUGUUUUCAUUAAUCAAGAACGAAAGUUAGGGGAUCGAAGACGAUCAGAUACCGUCGUAGUCUUAACCAUAAACUAUGCCGACUAGGGAUCGGACGAUGUUAAAUUUUAUUGACUCGU
rnacentral:rRNA from 1 species